rnacentral:rRNA from 1 species
AACGAACGCUGGCGGCAUGCCUAACACAUGCAAGUCGAACGAGACCUUCGGGUCUAGUGGCGCACGGGUGCGUAACGCGUGGGAAUCUGCCCUUAGGUUCGGAAUAACUUCGGGAAACUGAAGCUAAUACCGGAUGAUGACGUAAGUCCAAAGAUUUAUCGCCUAAGGAUGAGCCCGCGUUGGAUUAGCUAGUUGGUGAGGUAAAGGCUCACCAGGGCGACGAUCCAUAGCUGGUCUGAGAGGAUGAUCAGCCACACUGGGACUGAGACACGGCCCAGACUCCUACGGGAGGCAGCAGUGGGGAAUAUUGGACAAUGGGCGAAAGCCUGAUCCAGCAAUGCCGCGUGAGUGAUGAAGGCCUUAGGGUUGUAAAGCUCUUUUACCCGGGAUGAUAAUGACAGUACCGGGAGAAUAAACUCCGGCUAACUCCGUGCCAGCAGCCGCGGUAAAGU